rnacentral:rRNA from 1 species
AGAGUUUGAUCAUGGCUCAGGACGAACGCUGGCGGCGCGCUUAACACAUGCAAGUCGAGCGAGAACCAGUCCUUCGGGACUGGGGACAGCGGCGAACGGGUGAGUAACACGUGGGUAAUCUGCCCUCGAUUCUGGGAUAGCCCGGGGAACCCGGAUUAAUACCGGAUAGCCUCUCGAGCUUACGAGCUCGUGAGAAAAGGUAGCUUCGGCCUCCGAUCGAGGAUGAGCCCGCGGCGGAUUAGCUUGUUGGUGGGGUAAUGGCCUACCAAGGCGACGAUCCGUAGCUGGUCUGAGAGGACGAUCAGCCACACUGGGACUGAGACACGGCCCAGACUCCUACGGGAGGCAGCAGUGGGGAAUCUUGCGCAAUGGGCGAAAGCCUGACGCAGCGACGCCGCGUGGGGGAAGAAGGCCUUCGGGUUGUAAACCUCUUUCAGCAGGGACGAAGCCACUCGGGUUAAUAGCCCAGAGGGUGACGGUACCUGCAGAAGAAGCCCCGGCUAACUACGUGCCAGCAGCCGCGGUAAUACGUAGGGGGCAAGCGUUGUCCGGAUUUAUUGGGCGUAAAGAGCGUGUAGGCGGCCAGAUAGGUCGGUUGUGAAAACUGGAGGCUUAACCUUCAGACGUCGACCGAAACCAUCUGGCUAGAGUCCGGAAGAGGAGAAUGGAAUUCCUGGUGUAGCGGUGAAAUGCGCAGAUAUCAGGAAGAACACCCGUGGCUAAGGCGGUUCUCUAGUACGGUACUGACGCUGAGACGCGAAAGCGUGGGGAGCGAACAGGAUUAGAUACCCUGGUAGUCCACGCCGUAAACGAUGGGUGCUAGGUGUGGGGGGUGUCGACUCCCUCCGU